CUCUUCUGGAGAUCCGCUCCGCUGGAAUUUCAUAAGUGACCCCAGGAUGUGGCUAACUGUUGUUUAACUUCAACUGGACUAUCCUUCCUGAAAGGAAAUAAAUUUUUCCCUGCUGAAGAUUUUCUUCUAUAUGAUAACGUCCAUCUUGGAAUUUGAAUAGCAUGUGUAUGGCUUCUUACUGUUCAGCAACACUGAAAGCCCAGUAGAGGUUCUACAGCUGAAGCUUGAGGAUC